rnacentral:tRNA from 1 species
GCGCUCGUGGUCCAAUGGAUGGUCAGCGGAUUUCUACUCCGCCCUAUGCAGGUUCGAGUCCUGUCGAGCGCG